rnacentral:rRNA from 1 species
AGUGAACGCUGGCGGUAGGCCUAACACAUGCAAGUCGAACGGCAGCACAGUAAGAGCUUGCUCUUACGGGUGGCGAGUGGCGGACGGGUGAGGAAUACAUCGGACUCUACUUUUUCGUGGGGGAUAACGUAGGGAAACUUACGCUAAUACCGCAUACGACCUACGGGUGAAAGCAGGGGAUCUUCGGACCUUGCGCGAUUGAAUGAGCCGAUGUCGGAUUAGCUAGUUGGCGGGGUAAAGGCCCACCAAGGCGACGAUCCGUAGCUGGUCUGAGAGGAUGAUCAGCCACACUGGAGCUGAGACACGGUCCAGACUCCUACGGGAGGCAGCAGUGGGGAAUAUUGGACAAUGGGCGCAAGCCUGAUCCAGCCAGACCGCGUGGGUGAAGAAGGCCUUCGGGUUGUAAAGCCCUUUUGUUGGGAAAGAAAAGCAGCAGGUUAAUACCCCGCUGUUCUGACGGUACCCAAAGAAUAAGCACCGGCUAACUUCGUG